CCUCAGGUCUCUAGCUCGCAGGGACCCAAAGAAAUCAACCGAUGAAAUCGGGAAACGAUUGGCGGAAUCUGGAUUCACCCGCCCUACAGAGUUGUACCUGUGUCCCGUCGCCCAGGAGGGCCACCCUGGACCCGUGGAGAGAGUGGCCGCACGCAGGUCACCGGAAGCAAGGCCUGGAGUUGGCCUGGGAAGUCCUCCUCCAGCGCCCCGGCCCCGCCGUAAGUUCUUCGUUCACCGGUCCUGGGACCAGUAUUUGGAGUCCCCGGAGUCAGAGCCCGAGGCUCAUCUCGUAACGCCAGCCAAAGACCCUGAGGGCAGCCAAACUAACCCUCAAGCAACAGGGACGGACGUCCCUGACGUCAGCAAGACACCGCGGGAUUGACCCCAAGACAGCGAUCGACCCGAACUUCACUGUCCACCUCAAGUACCCACUGACCGUUGUCCUAGAUUGUCCUCAUGUAAAAUCCAAGGAAACAAAUAAAACUUCACAAGGGGGUGGCACCUGU